AGUGAACGCUGGCGGUAGGCCUAACACAUGCAAGUCGAACGGCAGCACAGUAAGAGCUUGCUCUUACGGGUGGCGAGUGGCGGACGGGUGAGGAAUACAUCGGAAUCUACUUUUUCGUGGGGGAUAACGUAUGGAAACUUACGCUAAUACCGCAUACGACCUACGGGUGAAAGCAGGGGAUCUUCGGACCUUGCGCGAUUGAAUGAGCCGAUGUCGGAUUAGCUAGUUGGCGGGGUAAAGGCCCACCAAGGCGACGAUCCGUAGCUGGUCUGAGAGGGUGAAGAGGCACAGUGGGACUGAGACACGGUACUGAGUCCGACGGGAGGCACAGAUGGGGAAUAGUGGACGAUGGGGGGAAGACUGAACAAGGCAUACAGGGCGGGUGAAGAAGGGCUGCGUGUUGUAAAGCCGUUUUGUUGGGAAAGAAAAGCAGCGGGUGAAUAGCAGGCUGUUCUGACGGUACCCAAAGAAUAAGCACCGGCUAACUACGUG
rnacentral:rRNA from 1 species